CACAAUAAACAUAUGAAGGCUGCACCGCCAACAGGCGGCAAGGCUGGAGUAUUUUAUUACCCUUGUCUUUUGCGCACUCGUUGUUUCCUGGGCGGGUUCGCCCGCCUCCAGGACCACAUGAUAAACCUUUUUUAUGCAGUUGCAAUCAGCGUCAGUACAACAAAUGUAAAUCAUUUA
rnacentral:misc_RNA from 1 species